rnacentral:rRNA from 1 species
UACGGAGGGGGCUAGCGUUGUUCGGAAUUACUGGGCGUAAAGCGCACGUAGGCGGCUUUGUAAGUUAGAGGUGAAAGCCCAGGGCUUAACCCUGGAAUUGCCUUUAAGACUGCAUCGCUAGAAUCGUGGAGAGGUGAGUGGAAUUCCUGGUGUAGCGGUGAAAUGCGCAGAUAUCAGGAAGAACACCCGUGGCUAAGGCGGCUCUCUAGUACGGUACUGACGCUGAGACGCGAAAGCGUGGGGAGCGAACAGG